UGGAAUAUAGAAUUUGAGGUUCACUAAUGCAUAGUGCAAUCUUUUUAUUGUAGAGGCAACUCCAAAAACAGUAAUGAAACUCAUGGGGAUUCCAGGUCUUACUUUAUAUCAUCUGAAGAGCCAUCUGCAGGUAAAAAUCAUCAACAAUCUGUGUUAGAACAAGACUUUAGUUUCCAUCUAUUGGUUGUGCAAAGUUUCAUUUUCAUUAGUCAUUGCAAGCAAUUUGAAUUUCAGUAUCAUUCAUCUAAAGUUGAGAAUCAAAUAUAGUUUUAUGUUGAACAAAGUCUCUACCAAUAAGAUUUAUAACUGAAUUUUCACUUCGUUGCGUAGUAAAUGCUUCUUCAUUUAAGAGUUCCACACCAUGUGAAUCAGAAGGAUGUUACAGAUUGUGAAGGUUGCGGAUUAUUUUAUUUUAUUUGUUCUUUUCAUAUUCUCCUAAAUGAAAUUUUGGAAUUGCCAUAAAUAUUUUUCAUCACUAUUUUGGAAUUGCACACCUGAUCCUGUUUCCUUUUGUCAUCAGAAGUACAGAUUGAGCAAGAAUUUGCAUGGACAAACUAACACUGUAACACACAAAAUCAGUAAGAGAACAAUCUCUUCCAUUUCAUUGAAUCUACUUAGAAACCAGAGAGCCUUUUUUGUUCUGAACAACAAAUUUUAUCUUACCAGCAACAAAUGCGGGGGCAACAACAAGUGAAAGAUCACUUUCAGAACCCAGUGGAACUCAUAUGAACAAGUUAAGCCUUGGCCCACAGGCUAACAAGUAAGAAAAACCAAUCCUUUUUUGUCACAUGCUUCAUGCUUGUGUAAUCUAGUUUGUUAUAAACAUUCUACUACUCAAGGAAUUUAUGUUAAUGAUAAUUGUCCUUGUAGCAGAGAUUUACAUAUAAGUGAGGCACUGCAGAUGCAAAUUGAAGUGCAGAGAAGGCUAAAUGAACAACUUGAGGUGAGUCGAACGCUUAACCAAAGCAAAUUAACUUGGUAUAAGAAAAUUUUGAGGCACUAAAAACAUAUUUAAGCCUGUAAAAUUUCUUGCACAUAUUUCUUUGCACGACAACUCUACAAGUUUUAUUGAAUACUAACAAUUCAUUCUGGACUGGUUCAGGUACAAAGACACUUGCAGCUUCGGAUAGAGGCACAAGGAAAAUACCUGCAGUCUGUGCUAGAGAAAGCUCAAGAGACACUUGGUAGACAAAAUUUGGGAAUGGUAGGACUUGAAGCUGCCAAAGUUCAACU
rnacentral:lncRNA from 1 species